AUACGGAGGAUCCGAGCGUUAUCCGGAUUUAUUGGGUUUAAAGGGUGCGCAGGCGGCCAUUUAAGUCAGCGGUUAAAUCGUGGGGCUCAACCCCAUUCUGCCGUUGAUACUGGGUGGCUUGAUUGCGGUCGAGGUUGGCGGAAUUCGUUGUGUGGCGGUGAAAUGCAUAGAUAUGACGAAGAACACCGAUUGCGUAGGCAGCUGACCAGACCGCAAAUGACGCUCAUGCACGAAAGUGCGGGGAUCGAACAGGAUUAGAUACCCUGGUAGUCCGCACAGUAAACGAUGAAUACUUGUUUUCGGCGAUAUAAUGUCGGAGGCAAAGCGAAAGCGAUAAGUAUUCCACCUGGGAAGUACGCCGGCAACGGUGAAACUCAAAGGAAUUGACGGGG
rnacentral:rRNA from 1 species